GAUCUACUCCCUCCAUUUGGAAUUACUCGUCCAAAAAGUGAAUUUAUCUAGAUGUAUCUUAGUUGUAGAUACAUUCAUUUUUGUGACAAGUAAUUCCGAACGGAGGGAGUACAAA
rnacentral:pre_miRNA from 1 species